CACGGUUCAAAAAUCUUUGCUGUAACAGAGACUUUAGCAAAGUGCUAAGCAUGUGCAUGCACAUACACUCACCAACACAUGCACACACACAUACAUGCACAGACUCUCACAAUAUAUACAUACACACAUACAUGCACAUGUUCAUAUGAACAUACACAUAUACACAUGAACACACAAACACACAAUCUCGUGGAGACAGGAAAGCCCCAUGUAGAGAUGUGUGAACACACUAUCUGGAAUGGAAGGCAAGGGAAGAGGAUCAGCUGGCCUUUUGACACAGGCUGUUGAUACCAGCAUUGGCCCCUGAAGAGUGGAUGUGACCCUGGAUGCAGCCAGGCUGACACCUUAAUGGAUGUUUGUCUUUCCAAGUUCUGGAGACUGGAAGUCCAAGGUCAAGUUGUCAGAAGAUCAGGGGUCUAGAGAGGAUUCUUUCUGGUUUUCAGAUAUUUGCCUUCUUGAUAUGUCCUCACAUGGAAGAGAGAGCUGCCUACUUGAGCCUCAGAAAAAGGGGAGUCUCUUCAAAUCAGUGCAGCCACAAAAGCUGUGCUAAAGGAAGUGCAUUGUCUGGGCAUGUAUUGUGUGCUGUGGCCUUUGGGGAAAGUAUACAAAGAGAACAAAUGAUUCAUCAACAGAUUUCUGGCAGUUUGGUCUUCCUCAGACAGCCUGAAAAGAAAAUAUUGCAAACCAAAAAUGAAAAUGAGAGGGAGAGCAUGUACAAGGUGUGUGGCUGCUCUGGGGCUCCAACAACAAAGUUAAGGUAGUUGCCUGCUGUUUCUAUGACCUCCAGAUUACCAUGUGAGCUUUGGCAGAACAAGUUUGCUAAGAUAUGGC
rnacentral:lncRNA from 1 species